rnacentral:lncRNA from 1 species
UUAUCAUCCGCUGAGGGUGGAAGCGGCCCCCGCAGACGCUCCCCGCAGACGCUCGGCAGGUGUCUUGAUAUUAUCAUCUGCUGAGGGUGGAGCUGAGGGGUGGAAGGGGAGUGAGCUGACGCUCGGAAGGUGUCUUGAGAUUAUCAUCCGCUGAGGGUGGAAGGGGAGUGAGCAGACACUCAGGAGGUGUCUUGAGAUUAUCAUCCGCUGAGGGUGGAAGGGGAGUGAGCACACACUCGGGAGGUGUCUUGAGAUUAUCAUCCGCUGAGGGUGGAAGGGGAGUGAGCAGACACUCGGGAGGUGUCUUGAGGCUCAGGGAGUUAUCAGUUAUAGAAUGUUGUUGAGUUGGAGGAGGUGGCUGGUGGCCCAUCCUGUUUUUUAAAGUUUCAGCUGUGAGGUA